ACACGCAUGACACACUGCAUAUCAAUAAGCGGAGGAAAAGAAACUAACAAGGAUUCCCCUAGUAACGGCGAGUGAAGCGGGAAGAGCUCAAAUUUGAAAUCUUAAAGGGUUUCCCUUUACGAAUUGUAGUUUAAGGAAGUGUUUUCUGUUGGAGUUUCGGUAAAAGUUCUUUGGAAUAGGACAUCAUAGAGGGUGAGAAUCCCGUAUUUGACCGUUACUUUCCAGCUGUGAUACACUUUCAAAGAGUCGGAUUGUUUGGGAAUGCAGUCCAAGAUGGGUGGUAAAUUUCAUCUAAAGCUAAAUAUUGGCGAGAGACCGAUAGCGAACAAGUACCGUGAGGGAAAGAUGAAAAGAACUUUGAAAAGAGAGUUAAACAGUACGUGAAAUUGUCAAAAGGGAAGCGUUUGACACCAGUGUUGUUUAGUUGAAAAUCAAUUCAAUAAUUUUUGAUUCUAAGUAGUAUUGACUUCAUCAGCUUGCUGCUUUCUUCUCAGAAAUUAUUGAAUGCACUUUUCAGUUAACAAGUCAACAUCAAUUUCUUUUGUUGUAAAAGGGUAAGAGGAAGGUGGCUUACGCUUCGGCGUCAAGUGUUUAUAGCCUUUUAUCUCUGCAAUCGGAGAGAUUGAGGUCUAGCAGCGUAGACUCCUUCGGGGUUAGAUACAUUGUGCUAAGCUAUAGCCUUGUAUAGACAACUUGUUGACUAUGCUCAGUCAUGUAGCUUACUCGCAUGAUGCUAUUUUACCUACGCUUAGGAUGUUGAACUACUGAGACAUAGA
rnacentral:rRNA from 1 species